UACAGGGGGUGCAAACGUUGCUCGGAAUUAUUGGGCGUAAAGGGCGCGUAGGCGGCUUGGCAAGUCAAAGGUGAAAUCCCUCGGCUCAACUGAGGAACUGCCUUUGAAACUGCCUGGCUUGAGGCCGGGAGGGGGUAGCGGAAUUCCCAGUGUAGCGGUGAAAUGCGUAGAUAUUGGGAGGAACACCAGUGGCGAAGGCGGCUACCUGGACCGGUUCUGACGCUGAUGCGCGAAAGCGUGGGUAGCAAACAGG
rnacentral:rRNA from 1 species